rnacentral:lncRNA from 1 species
UUGACAAUACACAGGACUGGCAAUCUGGAAGCAUGGCGAUGGCAAGAUAAAUGCCUUGCGGAAGGAAGCGAUGAUAGGAGGUCAAAAAAUUUGACCAAAAAUAGUUAAUUUACAUUGAGAGUAACGUAAAAAAUCAGACACCGUGAUUUUUUUUUUCUAAGGGUAAACAGUCGCCGUUACUCUAAAAUGAGCUGGAGGC